rnacentral:rRNA from 1 species
UACGGAGGGUGCAAGCGUUAUCCGGAUUCACUGGGUUUAAAGGGUGCGUAGGUGGGCAGGUAAGUCAGUGGUGAAAUCUCCGAGCUUAACUCGGAAACUGCCGUUGAUACUAUUUGUCUUGAAUAUUGUGGAGGUAAGCGUAAUAUGUCAUGUAGCGGUGAAAUGCUUAGAUAUGACAUAGAACACCAAUUGCGAAGGCAGCUUACUACACAACGAUUGACGCUGAGGCUCGAAAGCGUGGGGAUCAAACAGG